GUUCAAAAUAAUGAAACGAUAACAAAUAUGAUAUACAGCAACAAACAAAAGCCAGUGAAUUAUGGGCUCCUCACUUGGCACAGGCACAUACAGAAUGUAGCGAGAUUAAAAUGUAUGUUGACGUCCAACCAUCCUCUUACCUGUGAAAGUGGUGUAUCAGUACAACAAAUGAACAAACUAUAAAAAUCAGUUGAAAAGGGCUUAAUUCAUCAGAUAGAUACAAA
rnacentral:lncRNA from 1 species